ACGAGUUCCGUUCUUUGUCCGUUUUAUUUUGCAUUGCUACGUCGCCCUCUCCCUGGGAAGGUUGGGAGAGGGCUAAAUCUGCAAAAUUUUAGGCAAUACAUAAAGUGAUAGAUAUUCAUAAACCGAAAAUUCUCAACGUCUAACUACUUUUAUCAGGACAAACUUGUGUUGCUUCAAUUAGUAACCGAUCUGGGAAUCUCUUCAAAAACAUGUGGAGGGCAGACAUGUAUGUAUUUAUUUGCAACUUUUCACUUGAUGACGACAGAUGGUCAAACUUCGUUGGAGUGAUACCUACAUAAAUUUAUGCUGAUUGGAUCUAACGACUUGCACUGGAGAAUAUGCACAUAAUUUAAAUCUCAACUCUGGGAUAUGAACUACAUACAAAAUGGGAAUCAUUUAAUUUCACCGAGUUGUGAAACUACAAUCUACUUCAUAACCAUCAGCAGCAGCAGGGCCUGACACAAUUUGUACCUCAACCAUUUUCCCUGAAAAUGUACGCGAUAUGGACCAGAUUUAGGGGCAACACAAUCACCUCAGUAAAUAUUUCGUCUCCACAAAAUUCCGCCAUCAUUCAAGUAUCGAGUAAACAUUAAAUUUCUCUAAGCUAAUUAAGGUUCAAAAUUAGUAAUACGGAAAUUUUUAGACUCAUCAUAGGAUAAGUCGGUACAUACAUAUAUGUACCGACUUAUCCUACUAUCUUAGUAUACUAUCUUAUUAUAUGGUAUACUAUCUAAUUUCCACAAAUCGUACCUUUUUUGGGGACGUUUUCGGUCAAAAACGUUGAAUUAUUUUAACUUGUAAUAAGCAGGCACAGUACAACUUUUAAUUAAGAUUAAUUCAUAUUUUAUCAAAAAUGACAUUAGAUAAUGAGAAAUGUAGGUAGGUAGGUACAUAAUAUCUGGGUUAUGAAAUAUUUGUCCCAGGUAAAUUACAUUUUAGUACGCUCUAAGGAAUCCCACAUAUAGCGUUUUUCGCUAGCCAUUCGAGUGCCAUGUAUUGUGGAAUGUUAAUUCACCGCACUACAAAUGAUGACCAACUGUUCAAACAUAGAAUUUCAGUCAUAAUGAGGGUAUUCACUACGAGUUCGCAUGUCGGCAUCGGGACAUAACUUUUUCUAAAUUCCUAAUUUAGGGAAACCAAAAAGUGAAGACACUUCGGCGAAAUGACGGUUCCGCAGUGUUUCGUUUCUUGCGGGUUUUUCUCAUCUUUUGCACUGCACAGCAAGAAAUGCAAGAAAGUGCAAGAAACACAGCGCCAUCUAGCGACGCGCCUAAAGAACUAUGGCGGCGGGAAGCAGUUUCUUGCACUUUGCAUUUCUUGCGGGUAAAAAUAGCUGCAAGAAAUCAAUUUCUUGCGGUUAUUUCUUGUAGGUGGUUAGUGCACCCAAAACACUAACGGUUCGUAAAAUUCCGUGUACGGCAUUCCAAAAAUUUCAAACGGAAAAUCUUUGAUAACUAAGAUACUAGAGAUUUAUGAACUUUUCCAAUUGCAAAAUUUUCACAUUUGUGAAAAUUAUUUUGUUAAUUAAAGGCUAGCCCAGGUCCUGUGCCUCACAAUUCAAUUUAUAAGCCACAAUUUUUUUGCAAAUAUUACCAACCAUGCAUACUCGAUUUGAACACCCCCAAUAUAUCUUGAAUGUCAGAACUUUAAAAAAUCGCUUACAUUAAUCGUAACUACGUUAUGCAUUUAAGAUGCAGCAUUAUAAAUACUAUAUCACAGCGAACAAUCAUAUUUACCUCCGUGAGGUAGGCGAUAAUUUUGUCGCAAAAUCCAAACAUAUAACUUGGUGUCCCAACAAAGUUGGACCUUUUCGGCACCAUGCCUUGUACCUGACUAUAGUAUUUCUUGAUUGGUCCACUACCCUUGUCCGUUUUCAGCAUCGGAGCGGUCACAUCCGUCUGCAAAAGCUCUCGCGAAUGUCCAAAGCAACAUUCUGGUGUCCAGAUCGAAACUGGAAUUCCGAAAAUCCAAAGUUGAGGUUGGAUAUCAACUUCGAAACUUGCAAUCUUGGCAGGUCCCAAUCUUUUCGUUAGUCCUUCUGAUUCAUAGAUUUUAUAGUCACACGUGGAAUCCCUUUGACACUAAGGUACGUUACGUCAUCUAGGCAGACGAUACUGGCGCAAGGUCCUCCUCGCAGAUAGCUACGAAGGGCUGAAAUUAUCACAUUGAUCAUAAGUUUUUCCCCGUGGGAGACAUCUAUGUACCAAAGUGGUAUCCUAUCCAAUAUUUUAUUCUCACAAUUCCAUUCGGACUAUCCUGAACGUGGCGACCACAUUCAAAUUGUGUACAUAUUUUCAUAAUUACGAUGCUGGCUGAGAGUUAGCCUUCCAUUUUUAAUGUAGAUAUAGUGCUCCCUUGUCCGGAAUUUUGCAACGCCGUGUCUCCCUUCACAGACUGAGUACUUGCUAUUGUCGAGUCUGGGAACAAGUUUAUCUCGUCCGACGCUGGGUAUUUCGUUUACCAGUUGUGUCAGUCGUUUUGUGGUAGGGUCCACCCAAAUACUUUCAUUAUUUCGUUCAGAGCAGAUAUCCAGAGGAUAUGUUUCUUUGGAUAACUAUGAUAACCUAUCCCUUUAUAAUGCAAUCAGAAUUCUACUUUCUCAUUUGCAAAUUCUACCUUGUAUUCGUUCAUUUUUUCAAGCACAAAGUUUAACGUGCUGGUCCGCUCGUUUUUGAUUAAUUACGAUAACCGAAAAAUUUCUUCAUUUUCGGUAUUUAUUUGCUAUUGUAGUGUAAGCCUCUGCUCGUCUUUGGCAACUUUUAAUGUUGCGAGUUGCUCCUCAACAAUGUGCAGCUUUGCCUCCAUGAAAUGCACGGAGCUUUCACUAUCUUUUAAAUUGCGUUGCAUUUUUUCUAACUGGUCUUGCUGCUAGUUCAGUUUAUUCCGAAGACAGCUUCCAAAUUCUCUCUCUGCAAUUAGCAUGUCAUUAACAUUCCUAAUUAUCUCGUCAUUGUUCGCAGAGGAUUCUUUUGGAUGCUGUGACGUUUGCUUCGAGAUCCUAUUUUCGUCUUCCAAUGUUGCAACUUGUAAUUUCAACGCCUCAAUUUUUUCACUCGAGAAUUCUAUUUUAUACUCGUUCAUCUUCCCAAUAUUGGUGAACGAAUUAGGAUUUUCCAGAAUAAAUUGGAGAUCUUGGUCUCCAAUUGUUUUACCUGGUUCAACUGGAACCAAGUUUAUUAUAUCUCUUGUGGGAGAUAUGUUCGAAAAACUAUCCCCAUUAAGCACUACCUCGGCUGGUUGAGGACCACCCUCGGUCUCCAUUUCGAUGAUUUCGUCCAUGGUUUCCCCCUCCGGGGAGAAUGGGGUCGAUCGGAAAAACAGGCGUCUCCUGACGUCAGUUGAUGUCUUUCAUUUUAAUUGCAGGAGCUUUCGGCGUUACAGGAGAAUUACAAGGAGUAUUUGGAGAUUGUUCCAUUCUAAUUGGCGAAAAGCUUGUUUAAAGUUCUAAACUCUUGUGAAUUGCGAAUGAUAAGAAUACCGUUCAUGCAGCUCUUUAUAUGCAAAAUAAUAAUGCACCAACGCUUGAUACUUUUUUGCAACAAAGAGCUUUGCAUUUAUUUAACCAUAACUAUUUACUUAUUUUUGUUAACAAUGUUUAGCAUACCGUAUCAUAAUCGGGGGGUUCAUUGCAGAAUUCAUACGCCUUAUUCUUUUAAACUAAUGCCUGGAUCUGCUUAACUCGCACAUCCGUUGUAUAAAAAGCAUUAAGAGCAACAUAAUAAUAAUCACGAACAUGGUAAAAGUUCUAGGGGAAUCACUGUAUAUGAUCAAACUUAAUGUAGAGUUUGGCUUAAUUAUUAGUUGUGGGAAUUUCGUGAGUUGGUUAGGUUAGGUUAGGUUAUCGAUCUUGAUCCUCAUGCCGCAUUCAAGUUCGUCGGGUUGAUAAAUUCGCUUCGCAGGUUGUCCAAUCUCCAAAUCAGAGCACUCGUCCAAAUUGCAGUAACCACCAACGAUCCAGCUUAGGUUUGAUCUUCGAGGGUUACGCAUGCAUGAAUAUCGAGGUUGACCCGCUGCAUAAUACAUAUGCUUGCAGAAACCGGAUUCGCCGUCGGAUGUACAUUAUAUGCAAUCAUUAGAAAGGGAUGUAGAGUUUUCUCCCUUUUCAUUAUUUCGUUCAGAGCUGAUAUCCAGAGGAUAUGUUUCUUUGGACAACUAUGAUAGCAUAUCCUUUUAUAAUGCAAUCAGAAUUCUAUGUACUUUCUCAUUUGCAAAUUCUACCUUGUAUUCGUUCAUUUUUUCAAGCACAAAGUUUAACGUGCUGGUCCGCUCGAUUUUGAUUAAUUACGAUAACCGAAAAAUUUCUUCAUUUUCGGUAUUUAUUUGCUGUUGUAGUGUAAGCCUCUACUCGUCUUUGGCAGCUUUUAAUGUUGCGAGUUGCUCCUCAACAAUGUGCAGCUUUGCCUCCAUGAAAUGCACGGAGCUUUCACUAUCUUUUAAAUUGCGUUGCAUUUUUUCUAACUGGUCUUGCUGCUCGUUCAGUUUAUUCCGAAGACAGCUGCCCAAUUCUCCCUCUGCAAUUAGCAUGUCAUCAACAUUCUUAAUUAUCUCGUCGUUGUUCUCAGAGGAUUCUUUUUCAUGCUGUGACGUUUGCUUCAAGAUCCUAUUUUCGUUUUCCAAUGUUGCAACUUGUAAUUUCAACGCCUCAAUUUUUUAACUCGAGAAUUCUAUUUUAUACUCGUUCAUCUUCUCAAUAUUGGUGAACGAAUUAGGAUUUUCCAGAAUAAAUUGGAGAUCUUGGUCUCCAAUUGUUUUACCUGGUUCAACUGGAACCAAGCUUAUUAUAUCUCUUAUGGGAGAUAUGUUCGAAAAACUACCCCCAGUCAGCACUUAACCUGCGGGUUGUGGAGGGUCGUCCGUUUCCAUCUCUUCUAAAAUGUCUUCCAUCAUUUCCCCCUCUGGCGAGAAUGGGGUCGACUUAAAAAAAUUGGCAACGGCUUUUGCUUUCAGUCAUGCUACUUUGAGGGUUGAUGGGGAAUUGAAGGGGGUAGAUGAGUUAUCCAUAUCCAAUUACAUAUUUUACUGAGUUGAAACUUUCAGAUUUUGCGAAUAAUAUAUAUAAUAUAUGUACAAUGUCAUUUAACACGCAAAAUAAUAAUUCAUCUAAUGUUAAGUACCCACAAUUGCUGUGUAUCUAUGUAUUUGUUAUUUAUUUUGUACAUAUAUUUAAAAUGUGACUGUGGAAAACGUUAACCAAUUUUAUUCAGACGUCAAGUGAUAUACAUGUAGCUUGCCAUAAAAAAUGUUAUGUGAGACAUAAAGGUAAUAAUAUCUUGCAUACCAUAUGUACCCCCUUGUUAAUCUUGCUCUUCAUCUUUCAAACAACAUUUAAGUUUUUUAUAAAAAAAAUUUCUUUAUUUCGCACUUGAUGAUGCAAAUUGUAUUCUCAGAUACGAGUGUAAUAUAUAAAUAUGAGUGUAAUUCCAAAAUGAUGACAAUGAUUGUAGUAUUGUAACAUGCUAACGGUAAUUUAGGUUAUGUUACACUCGAUGCACUUAUUUUCUACUAUAAUUAGUCAGGGUAAUUAAUAAUUUAGCGUAGUUAAUAUCGAUGUUAACAUAUGUGUAUCGUACAUAUUUAUUUAUUUGUUUGAAGAGUAAAAAUGUACAUUUCAUUAAUCAAUACAUUUUAUGAGCUUGACAAG